rnacentral:rRNA from 1 species
UUUUAUGAGAGUUUGAUCCUGGCUCAGGACGAACGCUGGCGGCGUGCCUAAUACAUGCAAGUCGAACGCUUCUUUUUCCACCGGAGCUUGCUCCACCGGAAAAAGAAGAGUGGCGAACGGGUGAGUAACACGUGGGUAACCUGCCCAUCAGAAGGGGAUAACACUUGGAAACAGGUGCUAAUACCGUAUAACAAUCAAAACCGCAUGGUUUUGAUUUGAAAGGCGCUUUCGGGUGUCGCUGAUGGAUGGACCCGCGGUGCAUUAGCUAGUUGGUGAGGUAACGGCUCACCAAGGCCACGAUGCAUAGCCGACCUGAGAGGGUGAUCGGCCACAUUGGGACUGAGACACGGCCCAAACUCCUACGG